rnacentral:lncRNA from 13 species
AUGUCUUUUCAACGCCCCCUUCUCUACGCCUUGCUACCCAAGGAGGCCAGUGGCUCACGACCCGGGAUGACCUGCCCUUUCCUGCUACAGUACCGGCCAGCGGAACCUCAGGUCUCACCUCAAAGCCCGAGAGUCUCCUCGCGGGACCCGGAGAGGGGGAAGGGAGCCCACGCCAUACACCCGCGAGGAAUGCCGGGAGCAGUUCCUGAUCGCGGACCUCUGCCGGACUCUCCACGCGCCCGGCCGGUCCCAGCACCAGCGGCCAUAUUAGGCCCGUUGUGGCGGUGCCGAGGGCAGGCCAGGGCUCCAGAGAUCCGCUAUGUUAUGGGAGGCCACGAUCCCCGCGAUGGGCAGGGGAGCGAAGCCGCCUCCUUAAGCUCUGCUCCUCAUUGUCCGCCCCGCGGGGCUCCGGGGGAUUGGAACAGGGCGGCGGGGGAGAGUAGGAUGCAAGGAUCUCAAGCCCCAUUCCCGUCUCCAACGCCUCCCCGCUGGACCCCCAACGCAGGCAGAUGGCCCUGGAAUACAAGCCACUCACACUGUCCGGCAGGCCACCGGAUGAAAAGAAGAGGAGACAGGAAAGAGUUUAAAGAGGUCUGCCCUCCUUGCAGGAACCGGCUUGAAACUGGAGCUAGAGUAGAGGAGGCGGCCUGGUGGGCUGGCCGGCCUGCCCCGGCCCCGGUUCCAGCGAGGCGGGCGGACGCAAACAGACUACAACUCCCGGCAUCCGCCGCGGCGGGCGGGCCGCUGCACCUGCUCAGUGGGGCCGCCCCGGGCGCCUGGGUAUUGAUUAUUCCAUUGUGUGGGACGCCACGACUCCAGCCAGUGAAUGAGGCGGAGGAGUGAGGGCGAGGAGGAGGAGGAGGAGGAGGAGGAGGAGGAGGAGGAGGGCGAGGAGGGCGAGGAGGAGGAGGAGGAGGCAGGGAGCGAGCGAGUGCCCAGGGUGAAUCAAUGGAAACCCCCUCACGAAGCCGGGGAAACACUUCAGCCGCAGCCAAAUAGCAUUGAUUAUUUUCCUUCACUUCCCUCACCUCCGUGAAUUUAUUUAUUUAUUUAUUUUUUCCAUCUCCGUCCCCGACGCCCCGGAGCGAGCGCUGGAGGGAGGGAGGAGGAGGGGAAAAAAAGAGGAAUCAACACAUCGGAGAAGUCCCUUCCAAGAGCCGCCCCCUCCCCUCCCCGCCUCGCGCUGCUUGGCGGCCGCGGUUCGACUCCCGUCCCUGCUUCCAGCUGAGGUGUAAGUGCAUCGAUUUCCGAUGCUGCUGGGUUGUUUUUUUUCUCCUCUCCCUCUCUCUCUUCUUCC